rnacentral:rRNA from 1 species
AUGAGUCGACCUGAUGGGAUCAGCAUCCCCGACGGCAAGUUCUACCUUGGACAUGCCGGCUAUGCAUGUCGGUCGGGUAUUCUUCCAUCCUUCGGGAAAACCAGGUACCAUCUCAACGAGUUCUUUGGUAGGAACUAUCUUAGGACUGCACAGGAGCUGUUUAAUCUCAGACACUCCAGUCUUCGAGUAACUGUUGAGAGGGCAUUUGGAACUCUGAAGAAUAGGUUUAAGAUCCUGGAUCAGAAGCCAUUCCGCCCAUACUCCACUCAGGUUAAGCUUGUUCUUGCUUGUUGCAUUUUGCACAACUGGAUCCUCCAGUGGGGCUUUGAUGAACACGUGCUUGAGGAGGAAGUGGUCGAGCCUGACGAUGUUGUUAGCUCCGGCCAUGGUGUGGAGACAUUUGACAAUGACGCUUGAAAAAACAAAAGAUUGGAGUGGGCAGAGGCAAUGCGGCUUAACAGAGGUCGGUGCAAGAUUUAA